AACGGAGUGGACAAGUGUGCCAACCAUUUUCAAGUCUUUGUGAAGAAGGGUGAAACAGUGACCGUGGAUUCUAGUAUUAGCAAAAUUUGUAUGCCAACACAGUCUGGUCAGAAGAAGAUGAAGGUUGAACUUGUGAGCUCCGACAAACUAGACCCCAGGUACACCAUAGGAGAGACAGUUAGACUAGAAGGUGAGAUUGAGCUUGACAUAUCAGAGGACAUGAAGUUGGACCAACACCGAGCAGUGAAACUCACUGUCUACUUCCGGAAGUCGUCUUUGGAAGUCGUAGCAGAGGCUGUGAACUUUGUGAGCUCAUCCAGCCCUCAGCACUUGCAUCUUCCAGCUGAGGUUAUGGGCUAUUACUGAGCAAAUUCUUCUUAUUCGAGGAAAUUAAU
rnacentral:lncRNA from 1 species